rnacentral:lncRNA from 1 species
AUUUACAAACACAAAUAUUCACAUGAGAAACAAAAACUAUAUUUAAAAGUAGUAAUUUGAAAGUGAGAAAUAAUGUCAUCACGUUGACCAAAACUAAAUGAUAAAUUUGGAGCACUAUACAACUUCACAUAUAACACAUUGAACUGAAAAAUUAAAACUUUAAAUUAAAACAACACAUAGAAGCUAUAUAUAAGUUGUGUUUAAGACGGAGUAAAUAAGCUUACCUAAUAUAAUAAUCACGAGGCACGAAAACUUCAUUUAGAGGACCAAAGUAGCCAAAUAGUCUGCAAAUCUUUUGGCCUGCAAAGUGCAAAUAGAGUAUUACAGUUGAUUUCAUACAAUUGUUGCAAAAAUUUAAAUAAAUCAUUUAAAAAUAUAUGAUGAAGAAGACACCAUUUUUAUAAAAUACCUUAAAGUUGGUGAUAUAGAAGCUAACAAAUUAUUUAUUUUCACUAAUUCUUUCACUAAUUGCAUACAAAUGAUGGUAUAGAAAAGCACAAAAAAAUAAGACCACAAAGCCAUCAUUUUUUCCUUUUGAGACAUUUCCUCAAACACUUUGAGUGCUCACUCUCACAAUCAAAUGAGAGUUUUCAAAUACAAUGAAAGCUAUGUAGUUUACCAACUUUCAUUAAACUAAGGAGUUCAAGGGAUGACAAUGAUUCUUCCUAUCUAAAUCAAACUAAAGUAAUUAAAAGUAUCAAACUAUAAGUGAUCACUCAAACAAUAGAUCAAUUCCAUUGAAAAUUAGAAAUCUACUAAUAAACAAUGGUUUAACUACAAAUCAUAAUAAGCUAAGCAAGUAUACCUUUAGGAAAACCAUCAAAACUUGGUUUAACUUACAUCUAAAUUAUGGCAAUAGAGUUAGAAAAACAGUUAAUAUAGCAAAAUAUUUAAACAAUAUAUUUAGAAAAUCAAAAGACAUACUUUGUUUUUUGAGAAGCCCUUUGAACAUUCAUUUAUGAAGAUAGCUGCAAAGAAAAUACAUAACUCAUUAAAGAGAACAAUGGUGAAACCCAUGACAUUCAAAGCCAAGAAAAACAAUACCUCUUGAACUGGUUCCAGCGGUGUGUCCUUGUCAAUGGCGGUUCCGACAAAGUCGUUGUGUAUGAAGGGUUCCUUCUAUCGCCGCUUCAAUUGAUAUUUUCCUUGAAUUCAAAAUCAAAGUUACUCCACGUAUCUAAAUGAAAACAGAAAAAUAGAAUCAAAUUAAUUUGAAACAACAACAAUAAGAGAAACAAAAAAUCAUCAAUGGGUAUUUUGAAGGGUAAUAAACAAUGAAAUCUAUAAUCAAAACUCAAAAAAUUCAAGGCCAAUAAGAAGAGAGAAAAGCAAUAAGAAGCAAAUGAGAAAAAAAAUUGAAGUUUACCGUUGAUUAUCUUCUGCAAGCCAAUAAUGAAGANNN